rnacentral:rRNA from 1 species
CGGGGGCAUACGUCAGUGGCGACGGGUGAGUACGCGUGGGAACGUACCUUUUGGUUCGGAACAACACAGGGAAACUUGUGCUAAUACCGGAUAAGCCCUUACGGGGAAAGAUUUAUCGCCGAAAGAUCGGCCCGCGUCUGAUUAGCUAGUUGGUGAGGUAAUGGCUCACCAAGGCGACGAUCAGUAGCUGGUCUGAGAGGAUGAUCAGCCACAUUGGGACUGAGACACGGCCCAAACUCCUACGGGAGGCAGCAGUGGGGAAUAUUGGACAAUGGGCGAAAGCCUGAUCCAGCCAUGCCGCGUGAGUGAUGAAGGCCCUAGGGUUGUAAAGCUCUUUUGUGCGGGAAGAUAAUGACGGUACCGCAAGAAUAAGCCCCGGCUAACUUCGUGCCAGCAGCCGCGGUAAUACGAAGGGGGCUAGCGUUGCUCGGAAUCACUGGGCGUAAAGGGUGCGUAGGCGGGUUUCUAAGUCAGAGGUGAAAGCCUGGAGCUCAACUCCAGAACUGCCUUUGAUACUGGAAGUCUUGAGUAUGGCAGAGGUGAGUGGAACUGCGAGUGUAGAGGUGAAAUUCGUAGAUAUUCGCAAGAACACCAGUGGCGAAAGCGGCUCACUGGGCCAUUACUGACGCUGAGGCACGAAAGCGUGGGGAGCAAACAGGAUUAGAUACCCUGAUAGUCCACGCCGUAACGAUGAAUGCCAGCCGUUAGUGGUUUACUCACUAGUGGCGCAGCUAACGCUUUAAGCAUUCCGCCUGGGGAGUACGGUCGCAGAUUAAAACUCAAAGGAAUUGACGGGGCCCGCACAAGC